GGAGCAGCCUGGCAGUGUCCAAGCAACAAGCCUCCGCUCCUCCUUCCUGCACCCUGGGGCUCCUGCAACUCACCUGAGAAGGAGGGCUUUCUGAGAUUCGAGGGAAACAAGCUCUCAGGACUUCCGGUCGCCAUGAUGGCUGUGGGCGGUAAACACGCUUAGUGCAAGCAUCUGGGCCAUCUUCAAUGGUAAAAAAGAUACAGUAAAGACAUAAAUACCACAUUUGACAAAUGGAAAAAAAGGAGUUUCCAGAAAAGAGUAGCAGCAGUGAGGAAGAGCUGCCGAGACCGGUAUACAGGGAGCUACCCCGUGUUUCUGAGAUCCGUUGUGACAUCUCACAUUUUUUCCAAGAUGAUGAUGAGACAGAGGCAGAGCCAUUAUUGUUCCGUGCUGUUCCUGAGUGUCAACUCUCUGGGGGGGACAUUCCCAGGUAAGAAAAGCUAUUCCGUUGGAAAACUAUUGGACGCUGUGUCUCAAUAUCACAGAGGAACAUGAGAAUUAGAGGAAUUUGGGUGUUUUUCAUCGAACUCAGGGGAGAAUGAAUGAGCUUAUGCA
rnacentral:sRNA from 1 species